GAAGGCAGGUACUUCACGCGCUGCAGGUACAGCCUGAACACCAGCGACCUGGUUUCAGUUCUGGUCUCACGCGGUGUCACACUCAAACCUCCGCUCAUCAGCCAGCAGGUGGCGCUCAGUGUCACAGACGGGUGACGGCUGCGAUGUCGGCCGACGACCUGACAGAACCAGACUGAGCCGGUCUGGGAUUUAAACUGUCCACAAAACCACAUAAGCCUUUUCCCAACACUUUGAUGAUGCAGCUGUUUGCUCAGGUCAAAGGUCGAAGGUCAGAGGUGAUCAGCGGUCAUUGGCUGCAGUCGACCAGUGACGUCUUCAUGUUUGGUCUCAAUCACAGGUCGACUGAAGGACAGCGUUGUUGAAGCAGCUGUUCCAAUAGUGGGGCGCAUCCCUCCAAGGUCGUCGUCAAAGUCAGGUCACUCGAUCUGACAGGUCACACACCUAACCAUGAAUCCUAAUAUUUCCGACCGUCGUCACGUCGUACUCCCCCUCACUGACCCAGACGUCGACAGGAAACACACGACACUGAGUGACCGGUGGGAAAAACUGUCGGGAACAAUCGGUCACCGGAUCGGCACCGGUCUUGGACUAAAGUCACAGCCGUUAGCGUCAGGCGGCGACGAUGACGCGUUCAGAGUGAAUGGAAGAGAAGAAGUGAAGGACGAGUGUUCUAUGGAGAACGUUGUGCUGAAAGGAGCGAGGACGAAGCUUUGAACCGACACAGAAACUCUGGAGGCCCCGGAGUCAGGGUUGAGAAGGUGGAGUCCUGGUCUCCAUGGUUACCACAGAAAGGCUGUUUGUGUGAUGACGUCACUGUGACUGCAGCGCCUCCUGUUGGUCCGUCUCCACAGACUUCAGAAACUCCACGGUCCACAUCACAAAGAAAGGUUGCUUGGUAACCGUACGGCUGCCACAGUGGUCGACAUCCCAUCAACAGUCGUAUGAGGACGUGAUCAGAUGAUUUACCCUGGUUAAGACGAUCAUCAGGACGAUCAUCAGGACGAUCAUCAGGACGAUCAUCAGGACGAUCAUCAGGACGAUCAUCAAGACGAUCAUCAGGACGAUCAUCAGGACGAUCAUCAGGACGAUCAUCAGGACGA